UACGUAGGGGGCAAGCGUUGUCCGGAAUCAUUGGGCGUAAAGCGCGUGUAGGCGGCUCGGUAAGUCUGCUGUGAAAGUCCAGGGCUCAACCCUGGGAUGCCGGUGGAUACUGUCGAGCUCGAGUCCGGAAGAGGCGAGUGGAAUUCCUGGUGUAGCGGUGAAAUGCGCAGAUAUCAGGAGGAACACCCGUGGCUAAGGCGGCUCUCUAGUACGGUACUGACGCUGAGACGCGAAAGCGUGGGGAGCGAACAGG
rnacentral:rRNA from 1 species